rnacentral:pre_miRNA from 1 species
GACAGAAUGAGAUAAAAAAUCCAAGGCAGUGAAAAGAUUUCAUAACAAAUGUUAUGAAAUCUAUUUACUGCCUUGGAUUUUUUUUUAUCUCAU